GAUCAUUACCGAGUUUUGGGGCUUCGGUCCCUACUCCAACCCAUGUUUACAAGUCUCGUUGCUUUGGUGGAACGUCGUCUCGAACACGUCUGGGAGCUGCCGAUCAGCAUCCGAUAGUUGGGCGAUUCGCCUCCGGCUCACGCUGGAGAGUUUCCACCAAGGGUCUUUUUAAUGCUGUUUUUUUAAAAUCUGAGAAAACACAAAUUGAAUCAAAACUUUCAACAACGGAUCUCUUGGUUCUGGCAUCGAUGAAGAACGCAGCGAAAUGCGAUAAGUAGUGUGAAUUGCAGAUUUCAGUGAAUCAUCGAAUUUUUGAACGCACAUUGCGCCUUUUGGUAUUCCGAAAGGCACGCCUGUCCGAGCGUCAUUUUGACCCAUCAAGCCCCGCUUGGUAUUGAAGCCGGUCCCCGGACCCCUUCAAAACUCAAUCGGCGGAAGACGUGGAUGUCCUGAACGUAGCUAAGCAUCGUUGAGAGGACUGAAAGCGGCCCCCGCGAUUAACAAACUCAAAAUUUUGACCUCGGAUCAGGUGAGGAUACCCGCUGAACUUAAGCAUAUCAAUAAGCGGAGGAAAAGAAACCAACAGGGAUUGCCUCAGUAACGGCGAGUGAAGCGGCAACAGCUCAAAUUUGAAAUCUGGCGCAAGCCCGAAUUGUAAUUUGCAGAGGAUGUUCCGGAGUCAGCCCUGCCUAAGUCCCCUGGAACGGGGCGUCGCAGAGGGUGAGAAUCCCGUACGCGGUUGGGUGGCGUCUCCAUGUGGAGCUCCUUCGACGAGUCGAGUUGUUUGGGAAUGCAGCUCUAAAUGGGAGGUAAAUUUCUUCUAAAGCUAAAUACCGGCCAGAGACCGAUAGCGCACAAGUAGAGUGAUCGAAAGAUGAAAAGCACUUUGAAAAGAGAGUUAAAAAGUACGUGAAAUUGUUGAAAGGGAAGCGUCUGCGGCCAGACUCGUAGCGUCGGUUCAGCAGGUCUCUGACCUGUGCACUCCGUCGUCACGGGCCAGCAUCGGUUUCUUGGACCGGACAAAGGCACUGGGAACGUAGCUCUUCGGAGUGUUAUAGCCCUAUGCACAAUUCGGCCCUCGAGACCGAGG
rnacentral:rRNA from 1 species